AUUGAACGCUGGCGGCAGGCCUAACACAUGCAAGUCGAACGAGUGGCGGACGGGUGAGUAAUUUCUUGGAAACUGCCUGAUGGAGGGGGAUCACUACUGGAAACGGUAGCUAAUACCGCAUACCAUCAGAUGUGCCCAGAUGGGAUUAGCUUGUUGGUGGGGUAAAGGCUCACCAAGGCGACGAUCCCUAGCUGGUCUGAGAGGAUGACCAGCCACACUGUAACUGAGACACGGUCCAGACUCCUACGGGAGGCAGGAGUGGGGAAUUGUGCACAAUGGGCGCAAGCCUGAUGCAGCCAUGCCGCGUGUAUGAAGAAGGCCUUCGGGUUGUAAAGUACUUUUGGCAGGGAGGCGUUACCCGCAGAAGAAGCACCGGCUAACUCCGUGCCAGCAGCCGCGGUAAUAC
rnacentral:rRNA from 1 species